GACGAACGCUGGCGGCGUGCUUAACACAUGCAAGUCGAACGGAAAGGCCCUGCUUUUGUGGGGUGCUCGAGUGGCGAAAGGGUGAGUAACACGUGAGUAACCUGCCCUUGACUUUGGGAUAACUUCAGGAAACUGGGGCUAAUACCGGAUAGGAGCUCCUGCUGCAUGUUGGGGGUUGGAAAGUUUCGGCGGUUGGGGAUGGACUCGCGGCUUAUCAGCUUGUUGGUGGGGUAGUGGCUUACCAAGGCUUUGACGGGUAGCCGGCCUGAGAGGGUGACCGGCCACAUUGGGACUGAGAUACGGCCCAGACUCCUACGGGAGGCAGCAGUGGGGAAUAUUGCACAAUGGGCGGAAGCCUGAUGCAGCAACGCCGCGUGCGGGAUGACGGCCUUCGGGUUGUAACCCGCUUUCGCCUGUGACGAAGCGUGAGUGACGGUAAUGGGUAAAGAAGCACCGGCUAACUACGUG
rnacentral:rRNA from 1 species